rnacentral:rRNA from 1 species
AGUGAACGCUGGCGGUAGGCCUAACACAUGCAAGUCGAACGGCGGCACAGUAAGAGCUUGCUCUUACGGGUGGCGAGUGGCGGACGGGUGAGGAAUACAUCGGAAUCUACUUUUUCGUGGGGGAUAACGUAGGGAAACUUACGCUAAUACCGCAUACGACCUACGGGUGAAAGCAGGGGAUCUUCGGACCUUGCGCGAUUGAAUGAGCCGAUGUCGGAUUAGCUAGUUGGCGGGGUAAAGGCCCACCAAGGCGACGACCCGUAGCUGGUCUGAGAGGAUGAUCAGCCACACUGGAACUGAGACACGGUCCAGACUCCUACGGGAGGCAGCAGUGGGGAAUAUUGGACAAUGGGCGCAAGCCUGAUCCAGCCAUACCGCGUGGGUGAAGAAGGCCUUCGGGUUGUAAAGCCCUUUUGUUGGGAAAGAAAAGCAGCAGGUUAAUACCCCGCUGUUCUGACGGUACCCAAAGAAUAAGCACCGGCUAACUUCGUG